AUGGAUGAGAUGUCCCAGGAGAAGAGGAGUGUGGAAGGGGUGGGAGUGGACCAGCAGCAGAAGAACCAAGAGGAGGGCAGGCGCUCGCCGGCGGGGACCAUGGCGACCCCGUCGACACCUCCAGUGUUGAUUCGCAAGGAAAAAUAUGUGUCCAAGCUUCAGCAGGCAGGUUCAGGCUCUGUUGUGGUGGACUUGGAGGAGGUGCGCCGGGCGGCCAGUGGGUGGCUGGUGGUGGGUCGAUUGCUGGCAGAAUUUGAGGCAGAUCCUGGGGCUAUCCUCAAUGAGCUCCGGCGAGCAUGGCGUCUCCAUGGUGAAGUCGCUCCGCAGAGGGUGGCAAGUAGUGAUGGUUGUUUUGUCGUGAAGUUCCGUGAUCAGAGGGAUAGGGACUCUGUCCUCCAUGGUCAGCCCUGGCAGUUCAACAAGGAUGGGGUCAUCUUUGCACCAUUUGAUGGCAAGGGCAAGCCAGCAGAUAUCAACCUUGGAGUCAUGGAGAUAUGGGCGCAAAUUAGAGGGAUGGAUUAUGAACUUAUGACUGAGAAGAUGGGAUGGUCCCUGGGGGCAAAACUGGGCGAGGUGGUGGAGGUCUCACACCGCAACGGAGUCAUUGUUGAUGAGUACCUGCGGGUGCGGGUGAAGCACCCUCUUCAUGAGCCUCUACGCAAACACGUCUCCAUCAACCCGAAGGGCAGCUUCAUUGAAAUUAGCACUCCAAGAGACUCUGGGAAGCCGGAGUUCACUUCUGCAAUUCGAGUGGCUCCUUAUUGGAAGGAAAGGAAUUCUGUGAGGAUAUCUGUGAUGUUCCAAGAGGCUCUGCCAAAGAUGAAGCAAGUGCAUGAGGAAGCUAUCAAGGAAGUGGAGAAGGGCGUUCGCAAUCUGGUGGUAACGGUGAAUUCCAUGACGGAGUUUUCUGAUCUUGUUAUGCAGGACGGCGCGAGUGUGGUGCCGGGGCUGGCACCAACGCUACCUUCCUCUAUUGGGGGCUCCUCCAAUCAUCGGCUUCCUAUUUCAUCAACACCUUCGCCUUGUCUGGAAGGUGUGCCUUCCGGGCUGUUACUGGAGGGACCUUCCAAGGGGGGGUCGUUCGCCCCUUCGUCACACCCGGCCACUGCUACUGGGGCGCUCAGUCAACAAGGCUUGAGCCCCGCAUCAAUUGCUGCUCUUCAUCAAGCUGUGCUCGCCCGGGUAAACCGAGUGGGAAAGGACUCCAUCGCCUCUGAAGGCUUGAACCCUGGCCAGAAGGGUCGGGGUCUGGUACCUGCCUCCUCUGCUCUUUUCAGCCCCUGCCUGGGUCAGGAGGGUUGGGGCGUGGGGGCUGUUGAGGUGUCUCCUGUGGAUGCGCCUGUUGGCGAGGGGUCGGGAACUCGGAUGACUCCACAAGGUGCUCCUGUUUUUAUUUUCUCUGCUCCUAAGGUGGUUGUGCAGGGGAAUGUAAAAGCUAACUGGAAAAGAAUGGCUAGGGAGGGGGAUAGGACUCAGGUCCAGGGUCACAAUAGCAACAGGGGAGAUGAGAAUACAUUUGGUCUAGGCAUAGGUAAAAAGAGAGGCGCUCCUAGUUAUGCACUGCAUACGGGUAGUGAUAUCAACUUUUCUUUUGAGAAUGCUAGCCUGGAGAGUAACGAUCUGUUCCUGACUAGGGAUGUGAAUGUGUGUUGUAAGAGGGUUUGUGGGGGUCGGGUUGAAAAGGUUUGGGGUGAGGAUGGAGUGACCUCUCAUGUUGCGAAGGAGUUAGAGGAGAAAGAGGAGGAUUAUGUAGAGGGAAGAAGGGAGUUUGUUGGAGAGAAGAAAGGUGCAGAUAGUGCUUCGGCGGCCUCCGGUCAGGAGGACCGCCGGGAGAAAUGA
rnacentral:rRNA from 1 species